GAAGAUGAGGAAGAGGAGGAGGAGAAGGAACAACCCAGGGGCUGACAAGACAGCUCAGCAGUUUCUUCGAACAAAUUCAGAUAAUACUGUCACCAACUCCCUUACAAGUAUUCGACAAUAUUUCCUAAGAACACCACUGACCGAUGUUUCUAGGCUCAUCGGUUUCCAAAUUCACACGCGUACACAGCAAGCCCAAAAGGGAUUUUCCGGACACCCCAUUUAGCUACCGGUUUACCUAAAUAAACAUUUUCUGAGCCAGCC